rnacentral:rRNA from 1 species
UACGGGGGGGGCAAGCGUUGUUCGGAAUUACUGGGCGUAAGGGCUCGUAGGCGGCCAACUAAGUCAGACGUGAAAUCCCCAGGCUUAACCUGGGAACUGCGUCUGAUACUGGAUGGCUUGAAUUCGGGAGAGGGAUGCAGAAUUCCAGGUGUAGCGGUGAAAUGCGUAGAUAUCUGGAGGAAUACCGGUGGCGAAGGCGGCAUCCUGGACCGAGAUUGACGCUGAUGAGCGAAAGCUAGGGGAGCAAACGGG